rnacentral:rRNA from 1 species
GCGAUACAGGGUGACAGCCCCGUACACAAAAAUGCACAUGCUGUGAGCUCGAUGAGUAGGGCGGGACACGUGGUAUCCUGUCUGAAUAUGGGGGGACCAUCCUCCAAGGCUAAAUACUCCUGACUGACCGAUAGUGAACCAGUACCGUGAGGGAAAGGCGAAAAGAACCCCGGCGAGGGGAGUGAAAAAGAACCUGAAACCGUGUACGUACAAGCAGUGGGAGCACGCUUAGGCGUGUGACUGCGUACCUUUUGUAUAAUGGGUCAGCGACUUAUAUUCUGUAGCAAGGUUAACCGAAUAGGGGAGCCGAAGGGAAACCGAGUCUUAACUGGGCGUUAAGUUGCAGGGUAUAGACCCGAAACCCGGUGAUCUAGCCAUGGGCAGGUUGAAGGUUGGGUAACACUAACUGGAGGACCGAACCGACUAAUGUUGAAAAAUUAGCGGAUGACUUGUGGCUGGGGGUGAAAGGCCAAUCAAACCGGGAGAUAGCUGGUUCUCCCCGAAAGCU